CGCGGCCCGCGCAAGGAGACGCGCUGUGAAGCGGCACUUCCGGUCGGCCCGGAAGCUGGGAGACCUUGGUCGGGUGCUUGGUCUCCUCUCGAUCCCCGGUGGUGUUCUCACCACCGCGCGUGUUGCCAGGACAGAUGGUGCAGUGGAGGUGUAUCUGGAGAGGACCGUGCAGGGCAGUUACAGGUGAAUGAAACCAUUGUGAAUCAUCGUGGUGUAAGGAUUUAAUGAAGCCUCGGGCGAUUGGAAAGGAAGACUAGCUGUAAGCAAGGCAUCCUCCGUCCUUCCCUGACUCGUUCUCCGUCAGCGGCUGGAGAUGGAACCGAACUCCUUGCUCCUGUUGCAGGCUCGGAUGGAGGCAGAUGAGGGAUCAGCGACAUUCAAAGAUGUGGUCAUUGGCUUCUCCAAGGAAGAAUGGGGAUUACUGAACCCUGCUCAAAGAGAUUUGUACAUUACAGUGAUGUUGGAGAAUUAUCAGAAUUUGGUUUGGGUGGGGUCUUUCCCAGUGUGAAUUCUGUGAUGUUGAGGAAGAUCAGAACAGUGGUGGAAAGCCUUCCGAUAUUGCUUGCAUUCAUAAGGAGCCAUCAUAAUCACAAGGAUCCUUAAAGGUGAAAGAGCGAGGCCAAAGAAUCAGUGUCAGAAUGAUGCAAUGUGAGAAAGACUCAAGAAGCUAUUGCUGCCAUUGAGGAUGGAAAGGGGCCACACCAAGAAUACAGGCAGCCUCUAGAAGCCAAAAAAGUGGUUUCUUUCACAGAGCCUCCACAAGAGAACACAUCCCCAUCAACACCUUGAUUUGGCCCAGUGAGACCUAUUUCAAACUUUUGAUGUCCCAACAAUAAAUGUGUUGUUUUAA